rnacentral:rRNA from 1 species
CCUUGUGCCAGCAGCCGCGGUAAUUCCAGCUCCAAUAGCGUAUAUUAAAGUUGUUGCAGUUAAAAAGCUCGUAGUUGGAUUUCAGGGCCACCUGGCCGGUCUGCCGAAAGGUUUGUACUGGUUGCGUGGUUCUUCCUUCUGAAGACGACGUCCAGCUUUAAUUUGUUGGGCGCGCGGAUUCAGGACGUUUACUUUGAAAAAAUUAGAGUGUUCAAAGCAGGCCUACGCCUUGAAUACAUUAGCAUGGAAUAAUGGAAUAGGACUUUGGUUCUAUUUUGUUGGUUUCUGGAACUGAAGUAAUGAUUAAUAGGGACAGUUGGGGGCAUUAGUAUUUCGUUGCUAGAGGUGAAAUUCUCAGAUUUACGAAAGACUAACUGCUGCGAAAGCGUUUGCCAAGGAUGUUUUCAUUAAUCAAGAACGAAAGUUAGGGGAUCGAAGACGCUCAGAUACCGUCGUAGUCUUAACCAUAAACUAUGCCGACUAGGGAUUGGUGCGUGUUCUUUUUGACCGCAUCAGCACCUUAUGAGAAAUCAAAGUCUUUGGGUUCCGGGGGGAGUAUGGUCGCAAGGCUGAAACUUUAAGGAAUUGACGGAAGGGCACCACCAGGUCGUGGAGCCUGCGGCUUAAUUUGACUCAACACGGGGAAACUUACCAGGUCCAGACAUAGUGAGGAUUGACAGAUUGAGAGCUCUUUCUUGAUUCUAUGCGUGGUGGUGCAUGGCCGUUCUUAGUUGGUGGAGUGAUUUGUCUGGUUUAUUCCGAUAACGAACGAGACCUCAGCCUACUAAUUAGUUACACGAAUCCUUGGAUUCGUGGUCAACUUCUUAGAGGGACAAUUUGUUUCUAGCGAAUGGAAGUUUGAGGCAAUAACAGGUCUGUGAUGCCCAAGGG